rnacentral:rRNA from 1 species
UACGUAGGGGGCUAGCGUUGUCCGGAUUUAUUGGGCGUAAAGAGCGUGUAGGCGGCCAGGUAGGUCUGGUGUGAAAACUCGGGGCUUAACCCCGAGCCUGCAGUGGAUACGGGCAGACUAGAGGUAGGUAGGGGAGAAUGGAAUUCCCGGUGUAGCGGUGAAAUGCGCAGAUAUCGGGAGGAACACCGGUGGCGAAGGCGGUUCUCUGGGCCUUACCUGACGCUGAGGAGCGAAAGCGUGGGGAGCGAACAGGG